GACGAACGCUGGCGGCGUGCUUAACACAUGCAAGUCGAGCGGUAAGGCCCUUUCGGGGGUACACGAGCGGCGAACGGGUGAGUAACACGUGGGUGACCUGCCCUCAGCUCUGGGAUAAGCCUGGGAAACCGGGUCUAAUACUGGAUAUGACUCCAUGACGCAUGUUGUGGGGUGGAAAGCCUUGUGCGGCUGAGGAUGGGCCCGCGGCCUAUCAGCUUGUUGGUGGGGGAUGGCCUACCAAGGCGACGACGGGUAGCCGGCCUGAGAGGGCGACCGGCCACACUGGGACUGAGACACGGCCCAGACUCCUACGGGAGGCAGCAGUGGGGAAUCUUCCGCAAUGGACGCAAGUCUGACGGAGCAACGCCGCGUGAGUGAUGAAGGUUUUCGGAUCGUAAAGCUCUGUUGCCCUAGACGAACAGCAAGGGGAGUAACUGCCCUUUGUGUGACGGUAUAGGAGAAGAAA
rnacentral:rRNA from 1 species